rnacentral:rRNA from 1 species
AAAGGUAAGCUACUAAGAGCGAAUGGUGGAUGCCUUGACUGGUAAAGGCGAUGAAGGACGUACUAGACUGCGAUAAGCUACGGGGAGCUGUCAAGAAGCUUUGAUCCGUAGAUUUCCGAAUGGGGCAACCCAAUGUAUAGAGAUAUGCAUUACCUAUAUAGGAGCGAA